rnacentral:rRNA from 1 species
GAUGAACGCUGGCGGCGUGCCUAAUACAUGCAAGUCGAGCGAACAGACGAGGAGCUUGCUCCUCUAACGUUAGCGGCGGACGGGUGAGUAACACGUGGAUAACCUACCUAUAAUACUGGGAUAACUUCGGGAAACCGGAGCUAAUACCGGAUAAUAUAUUGAACCGCAUGGUUCAAUAGUGAAAGACGGUUUUGCUGUCACUUAUAGAUGGAUCCGCGCCGCAUUAGCUAGUUGGUAAGGUAACGGCUUACCAAGGCAACGAUGCGUAGCCGACCUGAGAGGGUGAUCGGCCACACUGGAACUGAGACACGGUCCAGACUCCUACGGGAGGCAGCAGUAGGGAAUCUUCCGCAAUGGGCGAAAGCCUGACGGAGCAACGCCGCGUGAGUGAUGAAGGUCUUCGGAUCGUAAAACUCUGUUAUUAGGGAAGAACAAAUGUGUAAGUAACUAUGCACGUCUUGACGGUACCUAAUCAGAAAGCCACGGCUAACUACGUG